rnacentral:lncRNA from 1 species
GAUACAUUCUUAUUAUUUUAUUCGGAGAGUUCAAUGCCUGCUUGCAUUGCAUUCAAUUGUACUUUAAGAACGGCGGUUUUUUCUAGAUCCCCAGAGCACAACCUUGAACUCAACCACAAUAAUGUGAAAAUAAACUUUUUUCCAUUUCUUAAAAAUCCAGUGCUUCUAAAGCAAUGUAUAGUAAACUACCGUCGCCAAGAUUGGAAACCAACCAAAUGGUCAAGAAUCUGUUCUAAGCAAAAAAAAACGAUAUGUUGAAUUUUUGAUUGGAAUUCAGAGUUUUAUACACUUAUAUAAUUAUCUUAUACAUAGAAGCAAAUUAUCUCAAAUAUAUUAUAACAUUACAAGUUCAGUCAAGAUCACUUGGAACUUUUCUUCUGUGGAAUUCGCUCUGCCAACGGGCAUAAUAAUAAUACUUUGGUCACAGUUUUCCUCCGCUUAUAAAAGAUUGAUUAUUCGACAUGAGAUUUAAGGAGGAACGAGAGGAAAUUGCUUAAGUCAAGAUAAUAUCACCUUUCUAUCUUCCCAGGGAAACAAAGGAAGAUGCCAGAUAAAUAUAGAUAGCAACCUUAUGGAAUUUAUACGUAAACAUGGUUUAAUUGAUAAAGGUCCCUUGCAGAUCGACCAUGACUACAGCAAAGUGCCUUACCCUAAUUCUUGUAUAGCAAUUUCGGACUAUAAAAGAGUGGUCAUCACUUACAUUGCCUGAUUUGUAGUGAAAAAAUUGGAAAAUAAAAUAUUUUGUGAAAAAUGCAUUGAAUCUUUGUGGUGUCUUGCAAACGAAUUCAAGUCAAUUAUGCAUUGAUAAAACAAAAAGAUUGAGGAGGAUCGCAUCAAACAGCACUAACCUAUCCUUCUAAGGAUGUAAUUGAGGUUUGUCUAGAAACUGAAAAGAUGUUUGAAAGACUUUUAAAUUCUACAAAACGGGCUUUGCCGAGAGAUUCCAGCCUGACUCUUAAAAUUAGCAUUGCAGUUUUUAAAAAUAUUGGCGUUCGUAAAAAUUAGGUCUUUCAAUGCCUUAGUGAUCAUAUAUUUUAUUCAUCUCCAGAAUCGAAUCAUGUAUUUUCCCUUAUAAAAGCAAUUUUUGAUGUUAUACAAGUAUAAAAAUGUAUCACUUGGGAAAGCUAGAAACUGAGACUGUAGAAGGAAUAAAGAUUCGUAGUGUUCCUCACGAAUCUUAUACAGUUUAAGAAUUAAUAAUUUGAAAAAUAUCAAUAAUAUGUUGAAAUACUUAAUUUUAUUAGUACAUAAUAUUUUUUAGAAUAAGUUAUACUUAAUUGAUUAGAUGUUUAUUUAUCUUAAUUAUUCUAAAACAUUUUUUAUUAAAAUUAGUAUGUACUACAACAAACGAGAAUAUUUUGAAUUUAUAAGAAAAAAUCAAUUAUGAAAAUGUUCUUCAUUGUGUUGUUAUAGGCUUCAUGCGAUUCAAGGCGAAUUUAAAUACCAGUCCUAGAUAUUCCUUUUAGAGAUGAAUUAUGAUACUCCUUCCUAAGAGUGAAAAUUGAGGUUGAUGAAUUAUUAUAUCAUUAGUAAUUAACUAUUUCGCUUUUUACAUAUUUUAUAUUUAUACAUGCCAUUUUGAUAAGAGAAUAAUUUGAAGUAAGUUGAA